AAGGUAGCACAAUCACUUGUCCUUUAAAUAAGGACUAGUACGAAUGGCACCACGAAGACUAUACUGUCUCCUUUUUACAAUCAGUGAAACUGAUCUUCCCGUGAAGAAGCGGGAAUUAUUCUAUAAGACGAGAAGACCCCAUGAAGCUUCAAAUAACUAUCAACUAUUAACUUCACACCACCAGAUACCUAAUAGCCCUGACUACUUAUUUUUGGUUGGGGCGACCACGGAGUAAAACAAAACCUCCACAAUGAAAAGACCUAACCCAUUAUUCAAGAACAACAGUUCUAACAAUCAACACAUUGACAUAAUUGACCCAACCCCCCCCCCUUGAUCAAUGAACCAAGUUACUCUGGGGAUAACAGCGCUNUCUAUUU
rnacentral:rRNA from 1 species